AAUCCAUGCAUUUGACAUUUUUGAAGUAAUUCUUUAAAUCAUUCCUAAACUUCAUAUAGAGUUUCAUCCUCUGAUUGCUGAAAAGAUGUGAUGUAAUUUCUAAGCU
rfam:Gossypium arboreum cultivar AKA8401 contig_9105_5, whole genome shotgun sequence.